AAUACAAGGAAAAAGAACAAUUACAAGAACGGAAGAAGCAUUCACAUAGAAUGAACUGCGUGAAUACUCGAAGCAGCGUGAACAAACUGCUACGAUUGUGUCUUCUCCAUUGAUCCUCUCUUUCUCUCUCUCCCUCUCUCUCUCUCUCUCUUUCUCUCUCUCUCUCUUCACCAAGUAGAUAUUCAACAUGGUUUACCUACGACGCAAGAUUUUAUUUUUCGGAAAUGCGAUUAAUCAACUGCAACAGAGUGUUAAGUGGAGCUCUUCUUUGAGAACUAAAGACAAGAAUUCUGUACCGCAACGUUUCUUUAAGUAUGCAGAUUUAUCAGUCCGUCUCGCUGGACCAAAUCAGUUGAAUCCUAAACCUGAUGUUAAUAAGCUUUCAUUUGGGAAAUAUUUCACUGAUCACAUGCUCAAAAUACAUUAUUACGAAGGCAUGAAUGGUUGGCAAGCACCAGAAAUUAUGCCUUUCGAAAACAUAGUUCUUCAUCCAGCUGCAAAAGUACUUCAUUAUGCUGUGGAGUUGUUUGAAGGUAUGAAAGCUUACAGAGGUGUUGAUGGCAAAAUAAGGUUGUUUAGACCAGAGUUAAAUAUGGAAAGAAUGAAUAAUUCGGCAGUAAGAGCUGGUCUACCACCUUUCAGAGGAGAAGAAUUAAUUAAGUGCAUUUGCAGAUUAAUUAGUAUAGAUCAAGAAUGGGUUCCACAUUCUACCGCCUCUAGUCUUUACGUUCGUCCUACGCUUAUAGGCAUCGACCCUACACUUGGAGUCGCAACUUCGGAUUCAGCUUUGUUGUACGUAAUCCUAUCUCCCGUCGGAUCUUAUUUUAAAGCUACCGAUCGGCAAGUCGGAGUUUCCCUGCUUGCAGAUCCUAGGUAUACGAGAGCAUGGCCUGGCGGUUGUGGUAAUGCUAAAUUAGGCAGCAAUUAUGGACCUACAAUUCAAGUUCAACAAGAAGCCAUUGAAAAAGGUUUACAGCAAGUAUUGUGGCUGUACGGCGAAAACAAUGAACUUACAGAAAUUGGCACUAUGAACGUUUUUGUUGUUUAUAUAAAUAAUAACGGAGAAAGGGAACUACUUACACCACCCUUAAAUGGUUUAAUCUUACCCGGAAUUGUAAGAAAUUCGCUUUUAGCUAUAUCUAGGCAGUGGAAUCAGUAUAAAGUUACGGAAAGAUCUAUUACGAUGAAAGAAAUAAUACAAUUAAAUUCAGAGAACAGGCUGUUGGAAAUAUUCGGAGCAGGAACAGCGUGCGUAGUCAGUCCCGUGUCUUAUAUUGACUUUCAAGGUCAAGAAUUGCAUAUACCAACGAUGGAACAACCUGAAGCAAUUUAUCAGAUGCUCAAAAAACAUUUAUUGAAUAUACAGUAUGGUAUUAUACCUGACCAUCCAUGGUGCUUAGUCGUUGACUAAAAUAUAAAUGAAAAAUACGAUUGUGGAUAAUUCUUUUUACACAUACAUAUAUGCGGCUAUGCUAUAGUUUGUGCGAAUAUACCAUAAUAGUUAUACAAAAUUUAUAGUCGGUAAAUAGACAACUUUAAGAAUUAAAGUACGCACAAAUAGGAUCUCAACUAGAUUGUAUUUCACGAGAAAAUCGGAAAAAAGUUGAAAAACUUGACUUACUUUUGGCUCACACACGUCAGAUUUAUAUUUACUUGAUAUAAAAGUUUUAUAGUCCACCAUAUAUUGAAAAUAAGCAUUUAGCUGAGGUCGCAUUAUUGGAACGAACAAUACCGAGUUUAUAAAACUAAGAUUGAAAGUCCAGAAAAGUCAUUUCACUGAAUGGAAAAAAUACGUGAAUAUACGAAUUUGCGAAGAUUAGAGAUGUCAACAGACAGAGAUGUCAAAAAGGACUCGCGUGUUUACGUUUUUACGUAAAAUAAUAAAGAUGUAGCAAGAAAUAACUACAUCUAGUAUGUAUUUUUAUAUCAUGCCAUAUCUCAUCAUAUUGUGGCCUCUUAGGUUUUCGUCGACGUUUGCGAUUAUGGCGCUACAAAGUCGCUCGUCUGCGGAAGCCCUAAGACAUCAUAAUAGGAGCAUAUUGGAGCAUGUUGGAGCGUGCGACGCGAACAAACCUUAUACUACUGGAAAGCGCUCUGCCCUUUGAAACGGCAUGGCGUAAUAAACAGAGACAGCUACUUUAGGUAUCGCUGUCCUUUAUGGCGCAUGCGCAUUCGACCGUCGUACAUUCAAAAUAAAAAGUGUUGUUGAUCCGAAGAUUCAGAAGUGAAUCCGAUUUUUACUUAAUGAAAUGCGCAGACGGAUGGAAAGCACUUUUCACUCAGACUGUAUCGACAAGGACAAAGUAAACUAAACUGACUCUCUCUCUCUCUCUCUCUCUCUCUGUCUAUUCAGGCGGAUAGCCUCAGAGUGCUUUCCAGUAGUAUAGUUCAGUGCGCCUCUUUGACUAUAUAAACGUAUGGACUGCUGGUCCCUCAUUUUUGCUGUAGAAAAUGCAUACUCUCGAUGCCGCCGAACUGAAGUUGGCUGACACAGAAUAAAAAAUCCUCUAAAAUCCUCUAAAAUAAAAGAAAAAACGCAAAACUAUGGGAAAGUACAAACCUGUAUUUAAAAACCAAAGAAUUGUAAAUUACAGUUUCUUCAAUUUCCUGUUAUCACUUAAAUUACUUCUUCAUAUACUAUAUAAAUAAAUUCAAAUAUAUAUCUAAACAAAAAUACUUUUCUGCAUUUGAAUAAUGCAUAUAAGAAUGUAAUAAGACCUCCAAAUUAUGAUUAUGGAGCUUGCAAAGAAACAAAUCAAAAAGUACGAUCCAUGUACAUAUAACCUAUCAUUCACACGAUAUAGAUAGCAUAGCGCAAGAAACGUACGUAACUUUUUAUACUUAAUGAUUUACUUAAUUUAUGUAAUGUUUUAUUUAAUGUAUAUAA